ensembl:lncRNA
AUGUUAAGUGAAUCCACUGAACUGAAUUUUGUUUCUGUCCUCAGCUGUCGGACGAGCAACAGGAAAAGCCUGAUAGUGACAUCUAGCACCUCCCCCACUCUGCCACGACCACACUCUCCUCUGCACGGGCACACAGGUACCAGUCCCCUCGACAGCCCUCGCAACUUCUCCCCGAACACAGCUGCACACUUCUCCUUUGUUCCUGCUCGCAGGACGGAUGGCAGACGCUGGUCUCUGGCCUCCCUGCCUUCCUCUGGCUAUGGUACCAACACUCCCAGCUCCACUGUCUCGUCCUCCUGUUCAUCUCAGGAGAAACUGCACCAGCUGCCCUUCCAGCCCACGCCGGACGAGCUGCACUUCCUCACCAAACACUUCAGCUCAGAGAGCAUCACAGACGAGGAGGGACGCCGCUCCCCCGCCAUGAGACCGCGCUCCCGCAGCCUCAGCCCGGGACGCUCCCCCAUCUCCUUUGACCAUGAGAUUGUUAUGAUGAACCAUGUGUACAAGGAGAGGUUCCCUAAGGCGACGGCUCAAAUGGAGGAGCGACUGGCUGAGCUGCUCUCCUCCUCGGCCCCAGAGAAAGUCUGCCCACUGGCCGACGGGGUCCUGAGCUUCAUCCACCAUCAGCUGAUAGAGCUGUCAAGAGACUGCCUGGAGAAAAGCAGAGAGGGCCUCAUCACUUCUCGCUACUUCUACGAGCUCCAGGAGAAUCUGGAGAAGCUGCUGCAAGAUGCUCACGAGCGCUCAGAGAGUGUGGAGGUUACCUUUGUCACACAACUUGUAAAGAAACUGAUGAUCAUCAUUGCCCGGCCUGCACGCCUGCUGGAGUGUCUGGAGUUUGAUCCUGAGGAAUUUUACCACUUGUUGGAAGCAGCAGAGGGCCAUGCCAAGGAGGGCCAGGGCAUCAAGUCCGACAUCCCCAGAUACAUCAUCAGCCAGCUGGGCCUUACCAGGGACCCCCUGGAGGAGACCCGGCAGCGUUUCGCCAUGAAGAAGAUCAACAAACAGAACCUGAUUCUGAGAAACCAGAUCCAGCAGGCCUUUGUGGAACGAGACAUCCUGACGUUUGCUGAGAACCCGUUUGUCGUCUCUAUGUUCUGUUCUUUUGAGACUAGGAGGCACCUCUGCAUGGUGAUGGAGUAUGUAGAGGGUGGAGACUGUGCCACGCUGCUGAAGAAUAUUGGAGCCCUGCCGGUCGAUAUGGCUCGUAUGUACUUUGCAGAGACCGUCCUCGCAUUAGAGUAUCUUCAUAAUUAUGGCAUCGUCCACAGAGACCUUAAACCAGACAAUCUUCUCAUCACUUCGAUGGGACACAUUAAGCUGACAGACUUUGGUCUGUCUAAGAUUGGUUUGAUGAGUUUGACGACAAACCUGUAUGAAGGACACAUUGAGAAAGACACCAGAGAAUUCCUGGAUAAGCAGGUGUGUGGCACCCCAGAGUACAUCGCCCCAGAGGUGAUUCUACGUCAAGGCUACGGGAAACCGGUGGACUGGUGGGCGAUGGGAGUCAUCCUGUACGAGUUCCUGGUGGGCUGCGCUCCCUUCUUCGGAGACACACCAGAGGAACUGUUUGGGCAGGUCAUCAGUGAUGAGAUUAUGUGGCCUGAGGAGGAUGAAGCUCUGCCUCAGGAGGCUCAGGAUCUCAUCUCCAAACUGCUAAGACAAAACCCCCUGGAGCGACUGGGCACAGGAAGUGCCUAUGAGGUGAAGCAGCACCCAUUCUUCACAGAGCUGGACUGGAACAGCCUGCUGAGACAGAAAGCAGAAUUCAUCCCCCAGCUGGAGUCUGAGGACGACACCAGCUACUUUGACACUCGGUCUGAUCGGUACCACCACGUCGAUUCAGAGGAAGAAGACGACACCAACGAUGAUGAACACGUGGAGAUUCGGCAGUUCUCCUCCUGCUCACCUCGCUUCAGCAAGGUACACACUGAAACCUGCACACGAAACAUUCUGGUAUGUGAUCAUCUGUAUCUUGUAGUCAGCUGUAAUUUGCAGUUGUACGUUCUCCUGAACUCUCCUCACCUUUCCCUCUCCAGACUGCGGAAGCGUCUGUCAGUCUCUGAGUCGUCCCACACAGAGAGUGACUCCAGCCCACCUCUGACAGUCCGGAGACGCUGCUGCUCUGCUAUCAUUGAGAUGCCACGCAGUGGAAAAACACCUAAUCUGACCCCCCCCCCACUCACUUUUAUUCCUCCAUCCUCUGUCAAUGCAGCCGGCAGCUCAGGCGACGUGUCUGACCGCGCUAAUGGUGGCAAUGGCAGCAACGGUGGUACGGGUGGGGCUGCUAAAAGUGCAGCCGACAGUGACUCUCCAUCGACUCCAAAGGCCAUCAGUGACCUGGCUGCUCGCAGGGCUCGCCAUCGGCUGCUGUCAGGAGACACGGACAAGCAUACCACAACGCCGAGCUCCAGACCGCUGAACAAGGUCAUCAAGUCAGCGUCCGCCACCACCCUGUCUCUGAUGAUCCCCUCAGACCACCAUGGAGCCUCCCCACUAGCCAGCCCAAUGUCACCCCACUCGUUAUCUUCCAACCCAUCAUCACGAGACUCUUCUCCAAGCCGAGACCUGUCCCCUGCCGUGAGCAGCAUCAAACCUGCCAUCAUCAUCCACAGAGCGGGAAAGAAGUACGGAUUCACAUUAAGAGCCAUCCGCGUCUAUAUGGGAGACUCUGACAUCUACACGGUGCACCACAUGGUCUGGCAUGUGGAGGGGGGCGGUCCAGCCCAUGAAGCCGGGCUGAGGGAGGGCGAUCUGAUCACUCAUGUCAACGGAGAGCCGGUCCACGGUCUGGUUCACACUGAGGUGGUGGAGCUCAUACUGAAGAGCGGUGCCAAAGUGUCCAUCUCUGCCACCCCGUUUGAGAACACGUCCAUCAAAGUCGGCCCUGCCCGAAAAACAAGCCACAAAUCCAAGAUGGCGCGACGCAACAAGAAGACCAAGAACAAGGAGGGACAAGACAGUAAGAAGAGGACGUCUCUGUUCAGGAAGAUCACCAAGCAGGCGUCUCUCCUCCACACCAGCCGCAGUCUUUCUUCUCUAAACCGCUCUUUGUCCUCUGGGGAGAGUGGACCCGGCUCACCAACACACAAUCUGUCACCACGGAGCCCAACACAGGGCUACAGGUCCAUACCUGACUCUGCCCACUCAGUUGGUGGAAACUCAUCUCAGAGCAGCUCCCCCAGCUCUAGCGUCCCAAACUCCCCGGCAAGUUCUGGCCACAUCCGCCCCAGCUCCCUGCACGGUCUCGCCCCGAAGCUCCAGCGUCAGUACCGCUCUCCACGACGCAAGUCUGCUGGCAACAUCCCCCUCUCCCCUCUGGCCCGCACACCUUCACCCACACCUCAGAGCAGCUCACCUCAGCGCUCACCCUCCCCGCUGCCUAGCCACAGUCUGGGACAGGCUGCUGUGGGCCAGUCAUUCCCUGUGAAGCUCCACUCCUCCCCUCCCCUGGUGAGGCAGAUAUCCAGACCUAAAAGUGCAGAGCCUCCUCGUUCACCACUUCUCAAGAGGGUGCAGUCUGCUGAGAAACUGGCUGCCUCCCUAUCUAACUCCCCCUCAUCCUCCUCUGGAGUCACAGCAGCAGGCGAAAAGAAGCUGCCAGUGGGAGCAGCUGUGGGGAGUCGUAAACACAGCCUGGACAUCUCACAUUCAGAGUUUAAGAAGGAGAUUCUGCAGAGGGAGCCGAGCCUGCAGAGCCUUCAGGUAACAGUCUGA